GACGAACGCUGGCGGCGUGCUUAACACAUGCAAGUCGAACGAUGAUGCCCAGCUUGCUGGGCGGAUUAGUGGCGAACGGGUGAGUAACACGUGGGUGAUCUGCCCUGCACUUCGGGAUAAGCCUGGGAAACUGGGUCUAAUACCGGAUAUGACCAAGGACUGCAUGGUUUUUGGUGGAAAGGUUUACUGGUGCAGGAUGAGCCCGCGGCCUAUCAGCUUGUUGGUGGGGUAAUGGCCUACCAAGGCGACGACGGGUAGCCGGCCUGAGAGGGCGACCGGCCACACUGGAACUGGGACACGGCCCAGACGCCUACGGGAGGCAGCAGUGGGGAAUAUUGCACAAUGGGCGAAAGCCUGAUGCAGCGACGCCGCGUGAGGGAUGACGGCCUUCGGGUUGUAAACCUCUUUCAGCAGGGACGAAGCGAAAGUGACUGUACCUGCAGAAGAAGCACCGGCUAACUACGUGCCAGCCGCCGCCGUAACAC
rnacentral:rRNA from 1 species